UACAGAGGUGGCAAGCGUUGUUCGGAAUUACUGGGCGUAAAGGGCGCGUAGGCGGUCUUCUAAGUCCUGUGUGAAAUCCCUCGGCUCAACUGAGGAACUGCACGGGAUACUGGAUGACUUGAGUUCGGGAGAGGGAAGCGGAAUUCCGGGUGUAGCGGUGAAAUGCGUAGAUAUCCGGAGGAACACCGGUGGCGAAGGCGGCUUCCUGGACCGAUUACUGACGCUGAGGCGCGAAAGCAUGGGGAGCGAACAGG
rnacentral:rRNA from 1 species